UGCGGAAGGAUCAUUACCUAGAGUUGUAGGCUUUGCCUGCUAUCUCUUACCCAUGUCUUUUGAGUACCUUACGUUUCCUCGGUGGGUUCGCCCACCGAUUGGACAAACUUAAACCCUUUGCAGUUGAAAUCAGCGUCUGAAAAAACUUAAUAGUUACAACUUUCAACAACGGAUCUCUUGGUUCUGGCAUCGAUGAAGAACGCAGCGAAAUGCGAUAAGUAGUGUGAAUUGCAGAAUUCAGUGAAUCAUCGAAUCUUUGAACGCACAUUGCGCCCCUUGGUAUUCCAUGGGGCAUGCCUGUUCGAGCGUCAUUUGUACCUUCAAGCUCUGCUUGGUGUUGGGUGUUUGUCUCCUGUAGACUCGCCUUAAAACAAUUGGCAGCCGGCGUAUUGAUUUCGGAGCGCAGUACAUCUCGCGCUUUGCACUCAUAACGACGACAUCCAAAAGUACAUUUUUACACUCUUGACCUCGGAUCAGGUAGGGAUACCCGCUGAACUU
rnacentral:rRNA from 1 species